rnacentral:rRNA from 1 species
GAAGCUGGAAUUGCUAGUAAUGGCAGGUCAGCAUACUGCCGUGAAUACGUUCCCGGGCCUUGUACACACCGCCCGUCACACCAUGAGAGUUGGGAAUACCCGAAGCCUGUGAGCUAACGUUAAGAGGCAGCAGUCGAAGGUAGAAUCAAUGAUUGGGGUGAAGUCGUAACAAGGUACC